CAGUAGCGUAUAUUAAAGUUGUUGCAGUUAAAAUGCUCGUAGUUGAAGUUCGGAUGCAGCAGAGCUUGGAAACGCUGUUAUGGUGCUUCCGUUGCUUUUGCUUGUCCACAGUGCGUUGCAAGUACGUAUGUGCUUGUGCGUGCAUUUUACUUUGAGAAACAUAGGGUGUUCCACGCAUGUUACGGCAUGAAUAUUCCAGCAUGGGAUAAUCUGGUACGACUUCCAAUCUGCCAUUUUGGUUCGUAGGUUGGAAGUAAUGAUUAAUAGGGACUGUCGGGGGCAUUGGUAUUUGACUGUCAGAGGUGAAAUUCUUGGAUUUACGGAAGACGAACAUCUGCGAAAGCAUUUGCCAAGGAUGUUUUCAUUGA
rnacentral:rRNA from 1 species